AUUGAACGCUGGCGGCAGGCCUAACACAUGCAAGUCGAACGAGUGGCGGACGGGUGAGUAAUGUCUGGGAAACUGCCUGAUGGCGGGGGAUAACUACUGGAAACGGUAGCUAAUACCGCAUACCAUCAGAUGUGCCCAUAUGGGAUUAGCUAGUUGGUGGGGUAAAGGCUCACCAAGGCGACGAUCCCUAGCUGGUCUGAGAGGAUGACCAGCCACACUGGAACUGAGACACGGCCCAGACUCCUACGGGAGGCAGCAGUGGGGAAUAUUGGACAAUGGGCGAAAGCCUGAUGCAGCCAUGCCGCGUGUAUGAAGAAGGCCUUCGGGUUGUAAAGUACUUUCAGCAGGGAAGCGGUACCUGCAGAAGAAGCACCGGCUAACUCCGUGCCAGCAGCCGCGGUAAUAC
rnacentral:rRNA from 1 species